UACGUAGGGUGCAAGCGUUAAUCGGAAUUACUGGGCGUAAAGCGUGCGCAGGCGGUUCGGAAAGAAAGAUGUGAAAUCCCAGGGCUUAACCUUGGAACUGCAUUUUUAACUACCGGGCUAGAGUGUGUCAGAGGGGGGGUGGAAUUCCACGUGUAGCAGUGAAAUGCGUAGAGAUGUGGAGGAACACCGAUGGCGAAGGCAGCCCCCCUGGGAUAACACUGACGCUCAUGCACGAAAGCGUGGGGAGCAAACAGG
rnacentral:rRNA from 1 species